GUGGUUGCAGGCGCCGCGCUUCUCUUUGCUUCUUUCGAGCUCUGUCCUCUACAGUUUCCAUGUUUCAGUAACAGAAUCUGCCAAUGCACAUAUGUAAAUAAGGUAAAGUUUUUGAACAAGUAAAACUCUAGCUUUUUUUUCUAGCGCGAUACUGAGCGAGCAUUAAAUCGUUAUUGCAGGAUGAGUUAAUGGAGUGUUACAAAGGAAUACAAGAGAGAGACACAGUAGUGGAAGAAAACGAAGGAAGCACUGAGACAGCAGUAAAUGUGCUUGAUCAGCAAUUCUCAAGCUGCUGUGAAAGCGAUAAGAGCAUCACAAUCACAGCUUCUUCACCAA
rnacentral:lncRNA from 1 species